CCUACGGGGAGCAGCAGUGAGGAAUAUUGGUCAAUGGCCGGGAGGCUGAACCAGCCAAGUCGCGUGAGGGAAGACGGCCCUACGGGUUGUAAACCUCUUUUGUCAGGGAGCAAAGUGCGGGUCGGGACCUGCUGUGAGAGUACCUGAAGAAAAAGCAUCGGCUAACUCCGUGCCAGCAGCCGCGGUAAUACGGAGGAUGCGAGCGUUAUCCGGAUUUAUUGGGUUUAAAGGGUGCGCAGGGGGAUGCACAAGUCAGCGGUAAAAUCGGGGGGCUCAACCCCGCUCCGCCGUUGAAACUGUGUGCCUUGAGUGCGCGAAGGGUAGGCGGAAUGCGUGGUGUAGCGGUGAAAUGCAUAGAUAUCACGCAGAACUCCGAUCGCGAAGGCAGCCUACCGGCGCGCAACUGACGCUCAUGCACGAAAGCGUGGGUAUCGAACAGGAUUAGAUACCCCGGUAGUC
rnacentral:rRNA from 1 species